GUUACAGCAGCCGCGGUAAUACGUAGGUGGCAAGCGUUGUCCGGAUUUAUUGGGUUUAAAGGGUGCGUAGGCGGGCGGCUAAGUCAGGGGUGAAAGACGGUGGCUCAACCAUCGCAGUGCCUUUGAUACUGGCCGCCUUGAGUGAGGACGAGGCCCGCGGAAUGGGUGGUGUAGCGGUGAAAUGCUUAGAUACCAUCCAGAACACCGAUUGCGAAGGCAGAGGGCUAGGGCGCAACUGACGCUGAGGCACGAAAGUGCGGGGAUCAAACAGGAUUAGAAACCCCCGUAGUCC
rnacentral:rRNA from 1 species